rnacentral:rRNA from 1 species
UACGGAGGGGCGAGCGUUAUUCGGAAUUAUUGGGCGUAAAGGGCGCGUAGGCGGCUGUACAAGUCAAAGGUGAAAUCCCUCGGCUCAACUGAGGAACUGCCUUUGAAACUGUACGGCUUGAGGCCGGGAGGGGGUAGCGGAAUUCCCAGUGUAGCGGUGAAAUGCGUAGAUACUGGGAGGAACACCAGUGGCGAAGGCGGCUACCUGGACCGGUUCUGACGCUGAUGCGCGAAAGCGUGGGUAGCAAACAGG